rnacentral:rRNA from 1 species
GAACGCUAGCGACAGGCCUAACACAUGCAAGUCGAGGGGCAGCGGGAUGAAGCUUGCUUCAUCUGCCGGCGACCGGCGCACGGGUGAGUAACACGUAUGCAACCUGCCCGCCACAGGGGGAUAACGCUGGAAACGGCGCCUAAUACCCCAUACUAUCGCUAUGCUGCAUGGCAUGGCGAUGAAAACUCCGGUGGUGGCGGAUGGGGAUGCGUUCCAUUAGCUUGUUGGCGGGGUAACGGCUCACCUAGCCGACGAUGUCUAGGGGUUCUGAGAGGAAGGUCCCCCACACUGGAACUGAGACACGGUCCAGACUCCUACGGGAGGCAGCAGUGAGGAAUAUUGGUCAAUGGACGAGAGUCUGAACCAGCCAAGUAGCGUGCAGGAUGACGGCCCUCUGGGUUGUAAACUGCUUUUAGUUGGGAAUAAAAAGAGGGACGUGUCCCUAAUUGUAUGUACCAUCAGAAAAAGGACCGGCUAAUUCCGUG